rnacentral:rRNA from 1 species
GACGAACGCUGGCGGCGUGCCUAAUACAUGCAAGUCGAACGAGAGCGACCGGUGCUUGCACUGGUCAAUCUAGUGGCGAACGGGUGAGUAACACGUGGGUAACCUGCCCAUCAGAGGGGGAUAACAUUCGGAAACGGAUGCUAAAACCGCAUAGGUCUUCGAACCGCAUGGUUUGAAGAGGAAAAGAGGCGCAAGCUUCUGCUGAUGGAUGGACCCGCGGUGCAUUAGCUAGUUGGUGAGGUAACGGCUCACCAAGGCCGUGAUGCAUAGCCGACCUGAGAGGGUGAUCGGCCACAUUGGGACUGAGACACGGCCCAAACGCCUACGGGAGGCAGCAGUAGGGAAUCUUCCGCAAUGGACGCAAGUCUGACGGAGCAACGCCGCGUGAGUGAAGAAGGUUUUCGGAUCGUAAAACUCUGUUGUUAGAGAAGAAUAAGUGCUAGAGUAACUGUUAGCGCCUUGACGGUAUCUAACCAGAAAGCCACGGCUAACUACGU